GAGAAGGAAAAUGAGGUUAACUUCCAUUGGAAUCUCUCAAUUACAAGCUAUUUGGGAAUCCUUCCUCUCUUCACCCAAUUUUGCAGAAGUAGAACUGUGCAGAUACCUGAUUAGAGCUCGUUAGAGAUCCUUUUGGGACUUCUCUGUGAUGAAGUGGCAGGGUAUACCCAGAAAUGCUGAAAUAUAGAAGAAAAACAAAACAAGGAA